rnacentral:lncRNA from 1 species
AACACACCAUUAUUGGUGGAUGCAUGUCUGAAACUGGGUCAGAGAAUACAUUCAGUUAUUGCUCUGAAUAUACGCGGAUAUUUAAAGUGCAUGGCAGAUUUAAUAAUUGUUAUGGAUAACCUCCAGCAGUAAGAAAUAUAAAGGCUCACUGCAGUUUUGAGUGCUCAACAAGUAUUGACCCCAUACUAUGCUCAGCAAGUAGGGCCCUUGUAUUUCUGUAAAUCCUCAUACAGUACAGUACUGCUGUUGGAAGAGGAGCAAACAGCGUGGUAUCUAUGGUCCACCAUCACUUC